rnacentral:rRNA from 1 species
GAUGAACGCUAGCUACAGGCUUAACACAUGCAAGUCGAGGGGCAGCAUGAACAUAGCUUGCUAUGUUUGAUGGCGACCGGCGCACGGGUGCGUAACACGUAUCCAAUCUGCCCGUCACUCGGGGAUAGCCUUCUGAAAGGAAGAUUAAUACCCGAUGGGAUGCAUUUCCGGCAUCGGAGAUGCAUUAAAGAUUUUAUCGGUGACGGAUGAGGAUGCGUACGAUUAGCUAGUUGGCGGGGUAACGGCCCACCAAGGCUACGAUCGUUAGGGGUUCUGAGAGGAAGGUCCCCCACACUGGAACUGAGACACGGUCCAGACUCCUACGGGAGGCAGCAGUGAGGAAUAUUGGGUCAAAUGGGCGGGAGCCUGGAACCAGCCAAGUAGCGUGAAGGAUGACUGCCCUA